GACGAACGCUGGCGGCGUGCCUAAUACAUGCAAGUAGGACGCAGUCGCGAACGGGUGAGUAACGCGUAGGUAACUACCUAUUAGAGGGGGAUAACUAUUGGAAAUGAUAGCUAAUACCGCAUACUAGUAGAUGGACCUGCGUUGUAUUAGCUAGUAGGUAGGGUAAUGGCCUACCUAGGCAACGAUACAUAGCCGACCUGAGAGGGAGAUCGGCCACAAUGGGACUUAGACACGGCCCAGACUCCUACGGGGGGCAGGCAUAGGGAAUAUUCGGGAAUGGGGGGAACCCUGAACGAGGAACGGCGCGUGGGUUAAGAAAGUUUUCGGAUCGUAAAGCUCUGUUGUUAAGGGAGCGUUACUUAACCAGAAAGGACCGGCUAACUACGUGCCAGCAGCCGCGGUAAUAC
rnacentral:rRNA from 1 species